UGACAUAGCUCAGUCAGUAAAGCAUAAGACUCUCAUUCUCAAGGUCAUGGAUUCGAGUCCCACAUUGGCCCAA